rnacentral:rRNA from 1 species
UACGUAGGGUGCGAGCGUUGUCCGGAAUUAUUGGGCGUAAAGAGCUCGUAGGCGGUCUGUCGCGUCGGAUGUGAAAACCCAGGGCUCAACCCUGGGCCUGCAUUCGAUACGGGCAGACUAGAGUACGGCAGGGGAGACUGGAAUUCCUGGUGUAGCGGUGAAAUGCGCAGAUAUCAGGAGGAACACCGGUGGCGAAGGCGGGUCUCUGGGCCGUAACUGACGCUGAGGGGCGAAAGCGUGGGGAGCAAACAGG